GACGAACGCUGGCGGCGUGCUUAACACAUGCAAGUCGAACGGAAAGGCCCUGCUUUUGUGGGGUGCUCGAGUGGCGAACGGGUGAGUAACACGUGAGUAACCUGCCCUUGACUUUGGGAUAACUUCAGGAAACUGGGGCUAAUACCAUAUAGGAUCUCCUGCUGCAUGGUGGGGGUUGGAAAGUUUCGGCGGUUGGGGAUGGACUCGCGGCUUAUCAGCUUGUUGGUGGGGUAGUGGCUUACCAAGGCUUUGACGGGUAGCCGGCCUGAGAGGGUGACCGGCCACAUUGGGACUGAGAUACGGCCCAGACUCCUACGGGAGGCAGCAGUGGGGAAUAUUGCACAAUGGGCGGAAGCCUGAUGCAGAAACGCCGCGUGCGGGAUGACGGCCUUCGGGUUGUAAACCGCUUUAGCUUGUGACGAAGCGUGAGUGACGGUAAUGGGUAAAGAAGCACCGGCUAACUACGUG
rnacentral:rRNA from 1 species